rnacentral:rRNA from 1 species
GACGAACGCUGGCGGCGUGCUUAACACAUGCAAGUCGAACGGAAAGGCCCUGCUUUUGUGGGGUGCUCGAGUGGCGAACGGGUGAGUAACACGUGAGUAACCUGCCCUUGACUUUGGGAUAACUUCAGGAAACUGGGGCUAAUACCGGAUAGGAGCUCCUGCUGCAUGGUGGUGGUUGGAAAGUUUCGGCGGUUGGGGAUGGACUCGCGGCUUAUCAGCUUGUUGGUGGGGUAGUGGCUUACCAAGGCUUUGACGGGUAGCCGGCAUGGGAGGGUGACCGGCCACAUUGGGACUGAGGUACGGCCCAGACUCCUACGGGAGGCAGCAGGGGGGAAUAUUGCACAAUGGGCGGAAGCCUGAUGAAGCAACGCCGCGUGCGGGAUGACGGCCUUCGGGUUGUAAACCGCUUUCGCCUGUGACGAAGCGUGAGUGACGGUAAUGGGUAAAGAAGCACCGGCUAACUACGUG